AUGUUUACUACAAAAAUAGAAAAUAAAUCCAGCCCAACAAAUAUCAAAAACUUCAUAAAAAAUUGCAAAAAAAAAACACAAGGGAUUAUUGGACUGGAAAUAGAAAAUUCGUGUGGGCUUUCAAGGAGAAAAUUGGCAGGCAUUUUUUUCAGUUUCAUCUCAGCCUUUCGUUCACACAAAGCCUUAGUUUUUACACUAUAUAAGCAUUGA